UUUGACUGCAAGAGGCUUGACAGGCUUUAACUAAGCAUUCAGAGCAAGAACUCCACAGAUGCUGUAAAGCCUUGCUCAAGCAAUAGCAGUCAAGCAUUCAGUGCUGUUUAGCAUGUUACAGAAGAGUCAAGAUGCAAAACAUUGUUCAUGGGAUACAACAAAUCAGAAACAAAGCUGUUUACUUUUUUUCUGUAGAAUAUUUCUGCCUGUGAAAGAUGGACUUCUCAGCGAUUGCUAUUGGAGAUGUGCAAAAUGUGCUUUCUGCUAUGCAGAAGAACUUGGAGUGCCCAAUAUGCUUGGAGGUGAUGAAAGAGCCAGUCUCAACAAAAUGCGAUCACAUAUUCUGCAGGUUCUGCAUGUUCAAACUCCUCAGCAGAAAGAAGAAAGGUGUGACAGUGUGUCCACUGUGUAAGACUGAAGUUACCAAGAGAAGUCUGAGAGAAAAUUCCAGAUUUAAGCAACUAAUUGAAGGAUUGUUGGAAACUAUUCAUGCGUUUGAACUUGACACUGGAGUAAAAUUUUUAAACAGUCGUCACUUUCCUAAACCAGCCACAGAAGCCACUGCUGUUGAGCUCCCAUGUAAAGAGGGUUCUGUCAUCCAGAGUAAGGGCUUCAGGAAUAGGAAAAGUACUAAAGAAAAUGGACAAGAAAACUGCACCUUGCAAGAAGCUAAUGUGGAUACACAGCUUACAGAUAGUAGGGUCAAAAGGAGGUCCCUAGGAAACAAACCCCAGAAAUGUGGCUCUCAAAAAGGGAUUUACAUAGAGUUUGGUUCUGAUUCAUCUGAAGAAGUUUUCAAAGAGUCAAGCAAUACUGGGUUAAAAGACAAAGAAGCACUUCAGGUUUCAGCUCAAGAGAAGUUAGAAGAACUUCAGAGUGCUGAGAUGGGGAAUGAAUAUUCUCCCAGUACACAGCGUGACAAGCCGGGUGUUGAAGAAGUAAUUCUACUAAAUGUCACAGGUGAAAGUAAUUCCUCAGAGGAAGUCUUGAGCAGGAAAAGCACUCAGAACAUCACUGAAUGCGCCCAAGCUGGCCGAGUGACUAUGCCUGAAUACCAGAGUUCUCCUUUCAGUGUUCUUGCUGGAGACCUCCUCACGGAGCAGUGUGACACAAUAGGUAAUGCCAGUCCCUUAAGGAGUGGGGACACAUCUUUCUUUAAGAACACAGAAGAAAUGGAUGCAGAGCAAACUCAGUGUGAUAGUAAAAGCAAAGAGUUUGACUUAAAAGAUAGCUCAGCGAGCAGGUUGGAUAAAAGCAAGGAAAUAGAUGAUGCACAAAGUGUGGAAGCUGUGGAAAUGGAUGAACCUGAGAAUGAUUCUUCCCAUGAGAAAGAACUUCCUCUGGAGAAACUGCUUCAACCAGAGCCGCCUCACUGUGCUGCCCUGAAUCCAGUUUCCAAGAAGAGACUGAAGAGAAGCAUUCAGAAAGUCAAUGAAUGGUUUUCAAAAAGCAACGAGAUUCUCUCUUCCAGUUCUUCCCAGGGUGAUUCUACUGGAGCAGCUGACAUUUCAGGGGACAAAGAUGCAUGUUUCUCAGAUAAAGAUUCCUGUAUUUCAGAGAAGACUGACCCUAUGGUGGAUUGUGUGGAAAUUGCAGUGGUGGAAGGAAAUGAGAGAUCAUCAAAACAAACAGCAGAUAGCAUCAAAGAUAAAAUAUUUGGGAAAACAUAUAAGAGAGAGAGGAAAUCAAAUCCCUCUCUUAUCUUCAGAGACAUUUUACCUCCUGCAAAAAAGGAAGAUGUGGCUGCUGAUAAAUUCUUGGAUCAUUCAAGCAAAAACAGACUAAAGCGAAAAAGGAGGAUGCCCCGUGUCCUGCAGCCUGAGGAUUUCAUCAGGAAAAAAGAUGAAGAGGCAAAUGGGUCCCCUCAAAGUGUUAACUGGUGCCUUGGAGAUGCUGAAAAGCAAAGAUGUAAUGAAAGUUCUGCUGUUCAUGAGGGUCAGCUCUCCGAGAAUCAGGAGGAUAAUACAGUGGCAGAACUUGAAGAACCAGAGGGAUCUGUAUGGAAAACAGCUACUGAAAAGGUGCCUGGCAAGCACAGUGCUGAGGAGCUAAAACUGAGUGACUGUGAUCAGAAAAGCACCAAGAAAAGUUCUGCAGCAAAAAGAUGCAGGCAUUCUACUAGAUCUCUGUGUGCCCUACAGUUAGUAGCGGAUAGAAGCUCUGAUUCUGCUGACGCGGCUGAGCCACAGAUCGAUAGCUACCCAAGCAGUGAAGAACCCAGGAAAGCUGAUUCUGAGCAAAGACGAGUCAGGCGCAGCAGGAGGCUGCAGUUACUUUCUGAAGAAAUGACAAGAGAGACAGGAAAAGGAGCUGAAAUGAAGGGAGCAAGAAAGUAUGAUAGUGGUCAUGAAGGGGCUAGCUUUAGAGUCCAAACAAAUGCAUUAGUUCACACUUCUGCAUGCAAAGACCUGGAUGAGCCCUUGGAUAUGUCAAGUUCCAAAUCACUCAUUAAUCUGAAGGAUAGUGAUCUGGAAGCAAAUGAAAUACAGAUUAGUCUAAAGAAUGCAUCUAAUACUGCAGAAACUGCUAAAGCUGUCUUCAAUCCUGCAUCUUCCUGUCAGCAUUCAACUUGUAGUUCCUUUGUGCCUGAUACAGCUUCUCAAGAAGGUGAAGUCCAAGUUAGCCCUCUUCUACAGUUUCCUUCCACGGCUGUUGUGCAAACUGCUUCCCACCUGACUGAAGAGGUGACUGAAUCAUGUACUGGACGUGAUAUGCCAAAUGUUCCAGGGGACUUGAGAGCUGGAAAGUUGCCAAUGGCUGAAAACGAUUUGGAAUUGAACAAGGAUACUGACGGGAGCGAGUUGGACAUACCGUUUGUGCAAAAUAUAUUCAGGCAUUCAAAACGCCUGUCAUUCAGCCUUCAUUCCAUUCCCAAGAAGGUGUGUGCAGUAGAAGAUGCUGCUUGUGAAGCUUCUAAGACACCAUGUGCUGAUCAGGCAGAAAAUAAGCAGAGCAACUAUUUAAAACCAGAAAACCUAAAAGGAGAGAAAACAACUGCUGGAAGCUUGAGUAGGGUUUGUGAGGAAGAGGAAGAUGUUUCACAGGUUACAAAUCGAGGGACUCUGACACCAGUAAGGAUGGGCACCGCUGGGACUGAAGACAAAAGCAGAUUGCAAGGAGGGCAAGGGAAGGAAAAGACAUUGUCAACUGGUACAGGAAUAAAAAGCAAGUUGAGACAGAAUCCAGUUAAAAGUAAUAUAAGGCAAAGUGAUCAGGCUGAUACGAGAACUGAUACAAACACAGACGGUGAAACAUGCUUCAGUUCAGAGAACAGUCAAGCAGGAAAGGCCAGAGUUGUUGAUGACAAAAGACCAAUAGAACCUUUUCACUCUGGCUCAAUGAUUUGUCCUGCACCUUGUCAGCAAAGGGCUGCUGAAUUCAGCUGUGAAGUCACUGGGGAAAAAAGUAACAAAAGAAAAAGCAAACCUGUAGAGGAGAAUGAAGAAGGAGCAAGCCAGGCUGCCAGCACAGGGAUGCCAAAGUUUUCACUUACAGAAGCUUCAGAAGAAUCUUGUAAAAGGAAUAGUGAUUUUACAUGUUUGUCUGAAACCCCUGAUGGCUUACUGUGCUCUGAUGAUGAGAUUGGAGAGAACAUCAGCUUUUCUGCAGCUCAUGGGAUAGAGAGAUCUGCUGUGUUUGCAAAAGGAGGUGACAAUGCUCUGGAACAAGAACUACACAAUAGAAGUGGUAGUUCUAAGUCAGGAUCUCAACAUAUUCAAAGACCUCGAAGAAGAGCACAGAAACUGCAAUCUUCAGAUGAAGAAUCUAGUGAGGAUGAAGAUUUACCAUGUUUUCAGGCAUUAAUAUUUGGCAAAUCAGUGAGCACACCUUUGCAAAGCAGUAAACCAGCAAAAUCUGUAGUAGAGGUUUCAGCGAGUCCCAUCACGUUGCCUCACACUGGAAGUCACAAGGACUAUAACAUGCAGAAGAUGCCUGAAGCUACCCUAAGCAAUGAAUGUGUUUCCCCAGGCCAGGAGUCCGAGUGCUCCGUCAACUUAUUUUCUUCCCAAUCCAACACGUCUGAAGAAUUAGUUGAAGUAGCACAAGAGCUCAGGAUUCCUUCAGGACAAGCUCAUACAUCUAAACAAGUGAACAAUGUGACAGAGAGUAAAGAAACUUUCCAAAGUGGUAAUGGAAGGCUGAAGAGAAGCAAAACUAGCUCCAAAGAUGAGCGCCAAGAAGACUCAAGCAUGGCAGCAAACCUAGGUGAAGCAUCUGCAUACGACAGUGAAACAAGUAAUGUAGAGGAUUCGUGUGAACCAUUCUCUCAGGGUGAAAUCCUCACUACACAGCAGAAGAAUAUAAUGCAAAAUAACCUAAAGAAACUUCAGCAAGAAAUGGCUGUACUUGAGGCAGUGCUGAAGCAGCAUGGAAGUCAGGAUUGUGAACUUUUACCUGUCCAUAGGGAACGGCCACAUUCCAGCAGUGAAAGAACACCUGGAAUGGAACAGAUGAGACAAGGAGGGGCAGAGUCAACCUCAGAAGUCAGUUUUGAAAAUCACAGAGGCAGCAAUUCAAAGGGAUUUUCAGCCAAUGAUUUCCGUGUCUUGCCAAGUGAUUCUCUCAACAGUAAAAUCAAAGAGCAAGGGAAAGAAAGGUCUCCAGAAUUGUUCCUUCCAUCUUCUAAACGCCAUUUGUUAAAGAGACCAGGUUUGGAGCAAGUUCUUCAGUGUGACAGUUCUCUACAGAACAAAGCUGCUUUGGAAAAGACAAAACCUGUGCAGGAAGUGGUGCAGGAACACAGUCAGCAUCAGCUUGCAGCAGAAAAUGCAGAUGAGCAGAAAUGUGGGACCAGGUUAAGCAGUGCAUCUGUCUUAUCAAAUCUCUCUGGAAAUGUGACCAAGAGUUCAAAUAACUCUUCCUCCUCUGUAAGACUUCUUAACCCUCGAACUACAGAUGCAACAAAUAGUUCUGUAGUGACUCAGAAAGCUAAUAAAAGCUGUGCUCAAGACAGCAAGUCAGAAAGAAGCGUGUGUUUUCCUCUAUCUGCUCUGCACAAUGCAGCUGGGAAAGAAAAUCUUACAAGUCCAGUUGUGAUUAACAGGAAAGCAAUGUCAAUUGUGGCAUCAGGCCUGAGUCAAAGUGAACAUUUGGUGGUCCAGAAGUUUGUGAGAAAAACUCAUAGCACUUUAUCUAAUCAUGUUACUGAAGGAACCACCCACGUCAUAAUGAAAACAGAUAAGGAGCUGGUGUGUGAACGGACACUGAAGUACUUCCUGGGUAUUGCAGGAAGAAAAUGGGUGGUUAGUUAUCACUGGGUAAUUCAGUCUUUUGAAGAAGGAAGGAUAUUGAAUGAGGAGAACUUCGAAGUUAGAGGAGAUGUAAUCAAUGGGAGAAACCACCAAGGUCCUAAGAGAGCUAGGCAGUCUCUGACUAAAAAGAUCUUUGAAGGCUUUGAGAUCUGUUGCUAUGGCCCUUUCACUGAUAUGACUACAGAACAUCUCGAAUGGAUGGUGGAGCUUUGUGGUGCCUCUGUUGUGAAGCAGCUUCAUCUGUUCACACACCCUCCAAAUUCUACUGCUGUCGUGGUUGUGCAGCCAGAUGCUUGGAUGGAAAACACAGAUUAUAGAGCAAUCCAGCAAAAGGACAAUGUUGCCAUGGUGACUCGCGAGUGGGUAUUAGACAGUGUUGCUUGCUAUGAGUGCCAGGAGUUUGAUGCUUACCUUGUGUCCUAAGGCUGAGCUGCAUUUCUUCCAGCUCAGAAAUUCUCAUCAGUGCUGAUGGCUUGCAGGGUCAGCUUGCAAGGAACCUGAGCUCUGUUACUGCUCAGUGUGCAUACCCCUCUGCUGCUGGAGGCAUCCCAGCCCUAGCAGCGUCUGUUUGCCAAACCAACUGCUCCUGCCCUGCAAAAGGAGACUGGCAAGAGCUUGCCUGUGGUUUGGGAUGGUAGGGAUUUGCUCAGCAAGGGUAUCUUGCAACAACUUCAUUCUGUGGCUUCUCUGUGGGUGCCUUAACGUUAAAACAGUGCUCCUUUGAAUUCUGUAAGGUUGGGCAUGUUUUGGUACCUGGCCUACCACUGGUGAAUGACUACUGCAUAGCUUUUUGCUGAAGUAGUUUACUUUUUAAAAUCCUCCCUCUACAUUUGGAUCCAUACACAGAGAGUUAUUUCCUUGCAGAUCUGAAGCCAUUUAUAAGGAAGCAGCUUACUCAGGGAUGCAAUUAGAGCACUUGUCUGACUCAUUACUAGAGCUAAUGGUGAAUCAAAGAAAUAUUCAGUCUGUACCUAUAAUUAUUCUGGGGGAUCUGCUGGAAUGUCUCAUCUUGGGUCUGGUUUUAUGUUGCUGAUAUUAUGAAUAAAAACCUUGUGCACAAUCUGUAACAAUC